rnacentral:antisense_RNA from 1 species
GAGAGUAAGAGGGUCCUGGAGUUUGGGGUCGCCUGGGCGCCCGCUUCCCCCAGGAUUGGAGCCUGGGCCACCGUCAGCCACCAGAUCCCUGGCACCAGCCCAGCCCAAUGUUUCUCCGACCGCCUGGCUUCACGGAGCAGCAGCAGCUGCUGACUCAUGGCCCCACAGAAGUGACCACUGGCAGGGGGACACUCAGCAAAUUUCCAUGUGUGCGUGUGCAUGUGUGUGCACGUGUGUGCAUGCAUCUGCUUGCUCGCGCGCUAGGGCAAUCAGGAACUGGCCAGUCGGGACCAGGCACACGACGCCUGGUUCCCCCCAGGGCCCCCCUGGCCCAGUCACAUGCCUGUGAGUCUUGGGCUUCCUGUCACAGCCAGGACUCGGGCCAAGCAGGACAGAGGGCAAGGCUCCCCCACAGUGGGCCAGAGCCCCGAGGCUGGACAGCAGGCCCUGGCCUCGAACUGACCCCAUAGAGCUGGGACCAGGCUGACCAAGCCCCAGCUUGCUAGGUGGCUUCCAGAGUGCUCCACCUUGGAUCCUGCUUCCCCCUGAAGGAGUAGUGAGCACAGGAGGGGCUGCUGCGAGAGGAAGAAGAUGGGGAGGGGCUGGGGAGGCCACGAGUCACCACAGGCCUCCCAGCAGGACAGCAGUGAAAGGCUCCAGGUCAGCCGGCCACACUCAGGCAGGCCCAAGGACCGCCCCCUCAGGCGAGCUAGCACCAAGGCCCGAGGCCACUCCCAGUCACCCUCCCAGGCCUGAGCAGGACCAAGACCCUGCAACGACAGGGACCAGUGGCAGGAGGUUCCAGGAUGGGGAAGAAAGGAGUGUGGCUGAGCCUGGACGCCACCCUGGCCAGUUCUUGAGCACCUCGGGAAUGGGCCCCGCGGUCACGGAUGGCACCGCCUGGGAGUACUUUGAGACGGGGCCUUUGGCAAUCAGGUCCUCCACAGAGCCCCCAACCUCCGACAUGGUCCGGCGGAUGGACGUGAACUUGUGCAGCGGGAUCCUGUCAACCACGGGUCGGGGCAUAUCAGGGAGGCCCUCCCGCCUGCCGGCCAAGGCCGCCAACACUGCACAUCCACCUGGAGGCCCCUGGGGAAUCUCAGAGUCGCCACAGCCAAAACCAAACUCCUGCCUGUCACCUGGAAACUGCUGGCCCAGCUCCCCCAAGUCAGUGAAUGGCAACCCACUGCCCCCCACCAGGUUGCACAGGCCACAGUCCUAAGAAGUGGUCACCCGCCACCCACCUCAGCCCCACACACCCAACCUGGGGGCCAGUGUGCCCACCCCUCCUCUCCUCAGCCAUUCUGGAGGCUCCAAAGCCCCCAGGGGUCUCCCGUCCUCCCUCUGCACCUGCGCUGGUCUCUUCCAGGAUGGUGGCCAGCAUGGCUGCUCAGGGUGCUGGCGGGUACCUGUCACUCCUGCCCAAAGUGCUCUGAGGCAGCCCACUGUACCCAGCCCCCAUCACACCUGCUCUCCACCCACAGACACCUGCACGAAGGUGGCCCCACCUCCAGGCUGGCACUGGCAGCUCUGCCUGGCCUCCUGGGUGGCCUCCUCUGGCCAUCAGAUGGGCCCUCCACACCACCUCCAGAAGCCCUCCUUGACUACCUGUCCUCCUGUGGCUGCCCAGUGCCCUCAUCCCACAUCUGUUUCUGGGCAUCCGCACCUCUCCUCACUCCAUGCGGCUCCAUGAGGUCCAGGACUGCACCUGGGGCCUUAGAGGCUUCUGUGCUGCCCCCCCCACCGCCCUGCCUCCCCCGACAGCUGCACUCAGGGUACCCCUCCAGAGUCCUGUCACCCAGCACACCGCCAGCCAGGGUGCAGGAGGGAGCUCCAGACUGAGAUCAGGGGUCCUGAGUUCUAAACCCAGGAAGCGAGUAACAGAGAGAGGGGUCCCUGCCCCUCCCCCAGGGCCACUGGCCUUCCCCUUGGUGUGAACCCACUCCUUGUUCCAAGGAAGCUCCCCUGGGCUUUUAAUCACUUAAAUAAAACCUCUUCCCUGCCCCAGGGACUUGAGAGUA